CAAAUGGACACAGACAGAGGCAAAUAGAGAGAGACGACGGCAGCGGCCGUAACCAAGGAGAAAAGCCAUAGCCUUUUCGUUGCUGUGUCGACCCUGAAGUCCAUUGUUGGUUUCUCUUCAGAUCCGUUGACUUCCCGACGACUAGGGUUCCCCGAUCGCAUCAUCAAGUCUCGAUCUUUUCCAGGUUUACCUCCCUCGAAUUAUCCGCGAUUGCUGGAUCCGGACGACCGCUGUCCUCAAGACUCCAUCUUUGCUUCCUCCGGCGGCCCUGAAUCGGCUCCUCGAUCCUAAGGUGUUCUCUUGCUCUGUCGCCCGGAUCUUGUGUAAAAUAUCUGCAACCGGGCUGAUCAAUAGAGGAAUGUCUUCCACGUUGAAGUAGCAGGGAUCGUGAGUUCGGCGCCAAAAGAGAAGCUUUGUUUCCGUGGUGCUGCGUCCCCGUCGAGGAUGGUCUUCUGGGAAGGGUACGUGAGUGAUGAGUUGACGGGCACCCUUGCCCCUAUCGUGGUUUAUUGGCUGUACGCAGGGAUGUAUCAGCUCUUGCCCCCUUUGGACCAGUACCGGUUGCACACGAGAAAAGAAGAGGAACAGAAGAAUUUGGUGCCGCUGUCCUCCGUGAUUAAGGGUGUUUUGCUUCAGCAGCUGGUUCAGGCCACGGUUGCAGGGCUGAUGUUCUUGGUUACUGCUAAGCCAAGCAUAGCUGGUAGCUUAAUCCAACCGCCUGUGCAUGUCCAACUGAUCCAGAUCUUGGUGGCGAUGUUCAUAAUGGACACGUGGCAAUAUUUCAUCCAUCGGUAUAUGCACCAGAACAAAUUCUUGUACCGCCAUGUCCACUCCCAGCAUCACAGGCUGGUUGUUCCUUAUGCUAUAGGUGCUCUUUACAAUCACCCAUUGGAGGGCCUACUUCUGGACACCUUUGGUGGGGCCAUCUCAUUUCUGAUCUCGGGGAUGACGGCAAGGACAUCUGUAUUCUUCUUCUGCUUUGCAGUAAUCAAGACUGUUGAUGAUCAUUGUGGUCUUUGGCUGCCUGGGAAUAUCUUCCACGUCAUCUUUCAGAACAACACUGCCUACCAUGAUAUCCAUCAUCAGCUCCAAGGCACAAAAUACAAUUACUCACAGCCAUUCUUCUCCAUAUGGGACAGGAUACUGGGCACCUACAUGCCAUUCAGCUUGGUGACCCGCCAAGAAGGGGGAUACGAGGCAAGAAUACUAAAAAAGACUAGCUGACAUGUUAAAAGAUAGAGUUUGAAGUGGGUGUGCCGUGUGCAUAACAACAGCAGUAUCAGAUUCAUUCUUUUUCCUAUUCGAAGAUCAGCCCUUUGUCUUUGUGUUUUCACAUCCCGAAUUCUUUGCGGAUGAAGAGAUAUCAAGGGGGCUUAUUACAUCUAUGGCAUAUCAUCCAACAUCUCUGCCACAGUGUAGAUGAAGAAGUUAGUUGUCACAAACAUGCAGUGGAGAAGGAAACCAUGUUUUGUAUUCCUUCUGCAAUUCCUGAAGCUUCUUGUGUUGAAUAAAUCAUGGUGGUGUUAGUUGUACAGGAAAGCUUUUUAGGAUUCAACAGUGUAUGAUGUGAAAGGGCUUUCUUGAUGUGGAGGAAAGAGAACUUUGUCAUUAGCUGCAUUAUUGUACUCCCACCAUAAGAUCUUCUCUGGAGAAGCCAAAAUGUGAUGAGCUGUAAUAUGAAUUUUCUCUGUUGGUGAGUA